rnacentral:rRNA from 1 species
UACGUAGGGUGCGAGCGUUGUCCGGAAUUAUUGGGCGUAAAGAGCUCGUAGGCGGUCUGUCGCGUCUGCUGUGAAAUCCCGAGGCUCAACCUCGGGUCUGCAGUGGGUACGGGCAGACUAGAGUGCGGUAGGGGAGAAUGGAACUCCUGGUGUAGCGGUGGAAUGCGCAGAUAUCAGGAAGAACACCGAUGGCGAAGGCAGUUCUCUGGGCCGUAACUGACGCUGAGGAGCGAAAGCGUGGGGAGCGAACAGG